rnacentral:snRNA from 1 species
GAAUGUGAGGGCGUUCUGGCUGCGACAUCUGUCACCCCAUUGAUUGCCAGGGUUGAUUCGGCUGAUCUGGCUGGCUAGGCGGGUGUCCCCAUCCUCCCUCACCUCUCCAUGUGCGUCCCUCCCGAAGCUGCGUGCUCGGUGGAAGAGGACGACCAUCCCAGAUACAAGGAGUGUACCGAUCUUCGAUCAAGGGUAUACGAUAGCUGCGCUACCCUGCUAGAACCUCCAAACAAGAUCAUAUGCUGUCUGUCCCUUAAGGUCUGGUUGAUUAACAAAACCCCAACUCUUAUAUUGGCUACUAUUUGU